CCCCCCCCCCCUCUCUCUCUCUCUGUGUGUGUGUAUGUGCGGUCUCAGUUACAAACCCCCAACCACUGUCUGGAAACAUUCGAUCUUUCCAGAAAGAAACAAUUUAUAAAUUUUAAAUAACUUUAAAUACAGUAUAUUAUUAGAGUAAUCCUACUUUAUUGUUAAAAAGCCUUACUCUUGAGCCGGGCAGUGUUGGCGCACGCCUUUAAUCCCAGCACUCAGGAGGCAGAGGCAGGCGGAUCUCUGUGAGUUCCAGGACAGCCUGGUCUACAGAGUGAGUUCCAGGACAGCCAGAACUACACAGAGAAACCCUGUCUCAAAAAACAAAACCAACCAAACAAAAAUCCUAACUCUUGAACUGUGCCUAAUUUAUGAAUUAAACUUUAUCACAGAGAAAUGUAUAAAGAAACUGGGCAGUAGUGGAACAUGCCUUUAGUCCCAUCACUGGGGAAACAGAGGCAGGGGAAUCACUGAGUUCCAGGCCAACCUGGUCUACAGAGUGAGUUCCAGGACAGACAUAGCUACAUGGAGAAACUUUGUUUCAACAAAACAAACAGACAAUAUAUAUACUGUAGCUGGGUUUUUGUCUGACCCCCAGGCUGCUGCACUGGAGGCUGCUACACUGAAUGGGGUGGCUGUACUGAGAUCAGUAGCACUGGGAGCUACUUCACAGGAGGAAAACUGUUGCACUGGAGGCUGCACUUUCCUGUGGAAUCUGCUGAACAUCUGGCAGACAUCAUCCCGGCUUCCCUACGUGAACCUGUGAAUCUGCUCGCACGUAUUCUAAAAUCCCAUCCCUCCUGAGGCCUCCAAGGGGCUGAGCUGGGAUCUCAAGUCUCUGCCAAGGUGGGACGGAUAUGGUAAACCAGGAUCACAACAUCCCAGCUUCCACAGAAGAACCCAAGAAUGCUGCUUCACUGAGACUCACAAUGAUGGUCCACCCAGCCUAAAAGGAAGCUCUGGUCUUGAGUGGAGAAUAGGACUGAAUGAAUGCUGAGUGGGGCGUGGCGGGCAAGUGUGGGCUGGUGAUGGAGUGUGAGAUAAUAGAAACAGCAGAGAGGCUUACAUCCCAGUGCUUAGGAGCCUGAGGGUCAGGAGUUCAAAGCCAGCCUGGACUACACAGUGAAACACUGCCCCUUCUCAAAAAAAUAAAAUAAGUAAGUAAAUAAAUAGGAAGAAAGCAAAGAAAAGAGGCCAGCCUGCUGGAGGACCCAUCCAUUCCAAACGGAACUGAACCUCAUUGAAAUAGGCACAGUGGGUGGAGAGAGCCUCUGAGGCUACUCUGAAAUUCCAGCUCCUGGGGGUGGGCACAGCUUUCUUCUGGGCUCCACAGACUCCAGCCUGCACACACACACACACACACACACACACACACACACACACACACACACACAUACACACAUAAAAAUAAAUUGUUAAGACACAGGCAGUCAGCCGGCGGGGGUGGCGCACGCCUUAAUCCCAGUACUCAGGAGGUAGAGCCAGGCAGAUCUCUGUGAGUUCAAGGCCAGCCUGGACUACAGAGUGAGAUCCAGGACAGGCACCAAAACUACAUAGAGAAACUCUGUCUCAAAAAAAAAAUCAUCUUAUUUAAAAAUAAAACUUCACCGGUCAACUGUAUGGCUUUUGCUAGUCUUGGUGGCUUGUGUUUGUAAUCCUCACACUUGGGGGAUAAAGACAGGAGGUUCAAGGGUUCAAAGCUGGAGCUGGAGGGAUAGCUCAGUAAAGGCAUCUGCUGAUAACCUGAAUUUUAUCCCCGCGACCCACUCCUGGAAGUUGUCCUCUGACCUCCACACAGGCGUGUGUGCUUACACAAAUCAGAUAUUAAAAAAGAAAAGCUGGGCAGUGGUGGCACACACCUUUAAUCUCAGCACUUGGGAGGCAGACGCAGGCAGGUCUCUGAGUUCAGGGCCAGCCUGGUCUACAGAGCCUGGUCUUUCAGGGCUUACAGGGCUACACAGAGAAAUCCUGUCUCAAAAGGUCCUGUGUUAUGAGAUUCUGUCUCAAAACUAUUUAUUUCUUUAGACCUGGCAUGGUGGCACACACCUUUAACCCCAGCACUCAGGAGGCAGAGGCAGGUGGAUCUCCAUAUGUCUGAGUUCUACAUAGUGAGUUCCAGGCUAGCCAGCGUAAUGGGUCUCUCUUUGGACUGUCAACUGCAGAAUAAUGACAUGGAGACUUCUUAUUAAUUAUGAAAGCUUGGCCUUAGCUUAGGCUCAUUCCCAACUAGCUCCUAAAACUUAAAUUAAUCUGUUUAUAUUAAUCUACAUUCUGUCACGUGGCUCGUUACCUCUCCUCAGUACUAUAUAUUCAACUUCCUCUGAGUCUAGCUGGUGAAUCUCAGAUUCUUUCCCAGAGUUCCUAUCUCUCCAGGAAGUCCCGCCUAUCCUCUCCUGCCUAGCUAUUGGCUGUUCAGCUCUUUAUUAAACCAAUCUGAUGAGGCAGGUGAGGAAGGACAGAGGCACUACUUCCCACAGUGUCCAAAAAGAUUAUCCCCAAAACAAGCCAAGGAUACAUAACAAGACCCUGAUUCAAAAAGGCUUUGGGUUGUUAUAUGGCUCAAGGGGAGAGGUGCUUGCCACCAAGCCUGAGGACCUGAGUUCUAGUACCAGGUCUUACCUGGUAAAAGGAGAGAGCCAACUCCCAAGCAUUAUCUACUGCUUGUCGUACACUUGGUGACAUAUCCCUCCCUGCCAAAUGAAUAAACAGAUAAAUUAAAAACGC